rnacentral:rRNA from 1 species
UACGUAGGGGGCAAGCGUUGUCCGGAAUCAUUGGGCGUAAAGGGCGCGUAGGCGGCGCAACAAGUCACUUGUGAAAUCUCCGGGCUUAACCCGGAGCGGUCAAGUGAUACUGUCGUGCUAGAGUGCGGAAGGGGCUACUGGAAUUCUCGGUGUAGCGGUGAAAUGCGUAGAUAUCGAGAGGAACACCUGCGGCGAAGGCGGCCGACUGGGCCGACCCUGACGCUGGAGGCGCGAAGGCGUGGGGAGCGAACGGG